rnacentral:snRNA from 1 species
CCAUGAACAACGCAAAUUUCCACAUCCCCCAUUCCGGAGGUCAAAAAUGUUCAAAUAAAUUUUUACCUGCGAGACGGCCGACAAGAAGUUGCGCUUUCCAGGACCCGGGAGUUUAUUUUUCUCCGAGAGCUCGAUGGGGAUGGAGAGGGAAAGCGGCCGAUCUUGGGUGCGGUUGGUCUCCGCUGUUUUAAGGAUGAGACCGAUCGCAAUGAUUAGCUGGACAU